rnacentral:rRNA from 1 species
GACAGAGGGUGCAAACGUUGUUCGGAAUUACUGGGCGUAAAGCGUGUGUAGGCGGUCCACUAAGCCGGGUGUGAAAGCCCUGGGCUCAACCCAGGAAGUGCACUCGAAACUGGCGGGCUAGAGUAUCGGAGAGGUUGGUGGAAUUCUCGGUGUAGAGGUGAAAUUCGUAGAUAUCGAGAGGAACACCGGUGGCGAAGGCGGCCAACUGGACGAAUACUGACGCUGAGACACGAAAGCGUGGGGAGCAAACAGG